AAACUGAAAUUUUUCUUUCCGUCAGCAUUAGGAUUUUAAACCCUAAACUGAACUCUUUCCUUCAGUCAGCAUUAGGGUUUUAAACCCUAAACUGAACUCUUUCCUUUAGUCAGCACUAGGGUUUUAAAUCCUAAACUGAACUUUUCCCUUCAAUUAGCAUUAGGGUUUUAAACCCUAAACUGAACUUUUCUCUUCAGUCAGCAUUAGAGUUUUAAACCCUAAACUGAACUUUUUUCAUUCAGUCAGCGUUAGGGUUUUAAACCCUAAACUGAACUUUUCCUUUAGUCAGCAUUAGGGUUUUAAACCCUAAACUGAACUUCUUCCAUUUAAUCAGCAUUAGGGUUUUAAACCCUAAACUGGACUUUUUCCAUGUAGUCAGCAUUAAGGUUUUAAACCCUAAACUGAACUUUUUCCAUUCAGUCAGCAUUAGGGUUUUAAACCCUAAACUGAACUUUUUCCCUUUAGUUAGCAUUAGGGUUUUAAGCCCUAAA
rnacentral:lncRNA from 1 species